GUCAUAAUGAUACACUGUUUUGUAUUUCAGAUCUGUUUCUGAGGGCAUAGCAUGUCAGUGCUGUCUGAGAAGAAUUUUCUGAUUGCUAAAAGAUCCAAGAACAAAAUAACUACAGGUACAAUAUGUCUUAAACUACACUUGGCAACCAUGUUUCUUUUGAAUUAGCAUAACUGCUCUUAACCUGUCACUGUAAACAGCAGCCUACUAAACACUUGGGAAAAGAGUGAAGCUUGCUGAAUUAAAGGAUAGCACAGAA